AUUUCAAAACUCAUGGCGACCUUAAAUAAUAAAGAAAAAUACGUCAUCCACUAUCGAGCCUUGAAGCAAGCAUUAGCCCAUGGCCUAAUUCUCUCCAAAGUACAUAGGGUACUCAAAUUUAAACAGUCCCCUUGGCUAAAGUCCUACAUUGACCUUAAUACAGAACUAAGAAAAAAAGCCAAGAAUGAAUUUGAGAAGAACUUGUUUAAGUUGAUGAAUAACGCAGUCUUUGGGAAGACUAUGGAAAAUGUCAGAAAACGGGUUAAUAUCAAAUUACUAACGCAAUGGAAAGGACGUUACGGCGCAGAAUCAUACAUUGCGAAACCGGAAUUUAAAUCUUGCGCCAUUUUUAACGAAAACUUGGUAGCUGUAGAAUUGAAUAAGCUUGAAGUCUAUUUAAAUAAGCCUAUAUACGUAGGUCAAGCCAUUCUUGAUCUAGCCAAGACGACCAUCUACAGCUUCCAUUAUGACUACAUGAUGGAUAGAUUUGGAGAUAACUGCACAGUUCUUUACACAGAUACGGACAGCUUAAUUUAUGAAAUUCGUGAACAAGAUCCUUAUAUGGCGAUAAAAAACGACUGUUUUAAAUAUUACGAUACUAGCGAUUAUGACCCCAAUAACCCAUAUGGCAUACCCCUUGUAAAUAAGAAAGUGUUGGGCAUGAUGAAAGAUGAAAAUAAUGGACAGAUAAUGACGGAUUAUGUAGGAUUGCGAUCGAAACUGUACACCACCAAAGUGUUACCCUCCAAGGAUGAUUUGAUAAAAUUACGGCAAAAAUUAGAAGCGGAAGAGAAUGAAGAGGAUGAGAUCGAUACGAUUAUUAAAAAUUUCGGUUUGAUGAAGAAGGCAAAGGGUAUAAAGAAAAGUGUAGUGGAGACUAAAAUUACUUUUGACGAUUAUGUGGAGUGUCUGGAGACCUUUAAGCGCAAAACGACUUCCCAAAAUUUAAUCCGAUCCAAUAAACAUCAGGUAUAUUCGAUAACGCAGUCGAAAAUUGCUCUAAGUCCCGAAGACGAUAAGAGAUAUUUAAUCCCAGGUACAUUUGAUACUCUUCCGUGGGGCCAUUAUGCUAUCAGUAAGCCUCAAGAUGUUCAACAGAUGGAAAUUGAUUAAAGUGCAAAUUUUUAUUAAUUAAUUGCAGUUUUGUUAUCUCGUUUGAAUAAUUUACCAACCCUUGACGAAUUAAUGAACCCUUUCAAUUUAUUUUGAAAGCGCCGUUCGUGCAGUCUCCCUCAGGUAAAAUAUUCAAUCGAUAUAAACAAAUUGCAGCAGAUUAUGGUAGGCCUGUUAAUUAUUUUUUAUGCAUAUAAGAAAUUGUUAAUGGGGAAUCCUAUAACGAGGCUGUAAACACCCCCCAAUAAAAUUACUUUAAUGCAAUUUUAUUGCCUCUAAGGUGGCCAUGGAAAGGGGUGUAUCAUAUCGAGCGAACCUCCGUACUCGAUAUUGCGGCUAAUUGUUAAAUUAUUAAUUAAUAACUUUAGUUAUAGCAAAAUUUAAAAUCUACUCAUCUCCAGGGCAUAACGAUAGUCGAUGUAGUGAAACAGCCUGCUUUUGAAUAGACCGAGGUAAUAUUCAUAAGGUAUAUGUUUUACCUAUAUAAUAUCAGGUAUGGCGAUAUUGAAUAUAAUGAGUGAAGGAUGUAAAUUUUUAUUGCGUGUUUAUCUGCAUACCCCUUUGUAUCAAGCUUCCUAUGACAUCGUUUGUCACAUAGCUGUGCAAUCUGUGCAGGUUUCCUGUCUAAAUGGAUAGCAAUAAAUAAAACUCCUCCUAGAAAUCGUUUGAUAGGCAUUUGUUACGAGGAUGGCGGGUAAGAAUGAGCUCUUUUCUAUUUUUCAUCAAACUUAAUGUAUGUAAUUUUUCAGCUCAAGGUGCGGCCAUCGUCUUCGGAGGCGUGCAAACGGCCUAUGGUAAAUACACCGCAUAUCUAUCACACGUUUAACCAUAUAUUUGUAGAACGAGAACUCCGAACACAUCUAAUAGAAAAAUAUGGAUCUGAACAUGUUGCGAUUUUACGGGGUCGGGGAACAAUCCCCGGCUCCGUAAAGAUUGAGGAAGAUGACUUCCAGGGAACGAGGUUCCAGGUCUUUAAAGACCUGGAACUCAAACACACCUAUUGGGUGUUCUAUAAUUAAUAAACCUGUUAAAUUUU